UACGGAGGGUGCAAGCGUUGUCCGGAUUUAUUGGGUUUAAAGGGUGCGUAGGUGGCCCGUUAAGUCCGGGGUGAAAGCCCACAGCUCAACUGUGGAACUGCCCUGGAUACUGGCGAGCUUGAGUCCAGACGAGGUUGGCGGAAUGGAUGCUGUAGCGGUGAAAUGCAUAGAUAGCAUCCAGAACCCCGAUUGCGUAGGCAGCUGACUAGGCUGGUACUGACACUGAGGCACGAAAGCGUGGGGAGCGAACAGG
rnacentral:rRNA from 1 species